rnacentral:tRNA from 1 species
GCCUGGUGCUUUGUCCGGUGAGUUCGUCGUCACCCGAUCUGAACCGCGGAGAUCGCUGAGCAGCUCAUUCGUAAUGAGCAGGUCGACGGUUCGAUUCCGUUCCUCGGCUCCA